AGGAGCUUGCUCUUUCCGGAUGAGUUGCGAACGGGUGAGUAACGCGUAGGUAACCUGCCUGGUAGCGGGGGAUAACUAUUGGAAACGAUAGCUAAUACCGCAUAACAGUAGAUGUUGCAUGACAUCUGCUUGAAAGGGGCAAUUGCUCCACUACCAGAUGGACCUGCGUUGUAUUAGCUAGUUGGUGAGGUAACGGCUCACCAAGGCGACGAUACAUAGCCGACCUGAGAGGGUGAUCGGCCACACUGGGACUGAGACACGGCCCAGACUCCUACGGGAGGCAGCAGUAGGGAAUCUUCGGCAAUGGACGGAAGUCUGACCGAGCAACGCCGCGUGAGUGAAGAAGGUUUUCGGAUCGUAAAGCUCUGUUGUAAGAGAAGAACGAGUGUGAGAGUGGAAAGUUCACACUGUGACGGUAUCUUACCAGAAAGGGACGGCUAACUACGUGCCAGCAGCCGCGGUAAUACGUAGGUCCCGAGCGUUAUCCGGAUUUAUUGGGCGUAAAGCGAGCGCAGGCGGUUAGAUAAGUCUGAAGUUAAAGGCUGUGGCUUAACCAUAGUACGCUUUGGAAACUGUUUAACUUGAGUGCAAGAGGGGAGAGUGGAAUUCCAUGUGUAGCGGUGAGAUGCGUAGAUAUAUGGAGGAACACCGGUGGCGAAAGCGGCUCUCUG
rnacentral:rRNA from 1 species